AUGUACCUGUGGCAUUUCUACCAACCAGUACAAAGAGAAGCUUCUGGAUAUAAUUCCUCAGGGACAUUCGUUUAUCAAUCCAGCUUGCCCAAGAUUUUAGAGAGACAUCAAUGUAUUCCCUGCAGCCACAGUUCAGUCUCCAAGAAGCUGUCUGACACUAGGCCAACACCUCGCUCUGGGCCUCAGUUUCCCUGUCCUGAAAGUGAAAAGAAUGGGCUUAGUGACCCAACAUGCUCUCCAUCCUUGGAACCCUCUGUUUGCUUUUCUCCCUUCCUGCUCCCAACCCACUGGCAUGUCUGCUCCUCACGCAGGGAACAAAGCCACAGUGUUUCAAUGGAGCCUGGUCCAUGGUUGGUCUCAGUCCCGGGGGCCAAGAGGCCCAGUUGGAUUUCACUGAAGGGAAAUCAGAACCCUGUAAGGCCUGCCAUGCCCAUGCCUUCUGGAAAGUGUUUGCAAAGCCUGAAUUCCCAGCCCACACACUGGGGCAAGCCAUCCUCCCUUUGAAACCUAAGCAAGUUUCAGGAAGAGCCAUUUACCUGUCACAUGGUUUUCAUAAUUUCCCUGGCACCUUCGCUAAUCAUUGAAGUGGGUGUUGGCAGGCGGAGGGUGACCUCUGGGUCUGACGCGGACGUGCUGGACCGCAGCUCACUUGGAGGAGAAGACCUGGAGCUGAGAUCUUACAGGGCCCUCCUGAGGGUGUCCAGCUACAGGGAUCUGCUCAUGAACAUCGGGGGGUCCUGCAGAAGUCCAAGAAGCAAGCUGAAUCGCAGGAGGUGAAGUGGAUGUUGCCUUGGAAAACUGAGUCAGUUAGCAUCUGUGAGGCCAGCCCAUGGGGUGGAGGGAAGGGUGGAGGGUUGUGGUGCCGUCAGAAGAUGCUGAGCAGCUCAGGACUUGACAGGGAUGCAAAGCACCGGGUAGGUCUGUAUACUCUCGAAAAUUAUACUUCUUCUUCCCUUCUCUCAACAGAGAUUACUGUGUGAGCUGUACCAGGUACUAGGGGUACAGGGUAGGGCAUCCAUCCAGUCCUUCCCUGCCCGGAAAGAUGGACUGACAGGAGAUGUGCCUUGUGGUUUCAACUGUAGACAUUCAGAAGGGGAGAUAAGCAUGGCCCUGGGUGACAACCAGGAGGGCUUUCUGGAGGUGGUGACAUCUAGUUUCCAGACAAACUAGGUAAGGCCCAAAGAGAAAUAAUGGCUCCGGAGCACUAGUGGAAAAAGCUUGGACUUUGAACCAAAUGGACCUAGUUUCAAGCUGACUCUCUGAGCCUUUGUUUUCUCAUCAAUAAAAUGGAAACUACUAUGACAGUUUAAGAGAUUAAAUGAGUUAGGGAGGAAAUAUGCCUGGUUCGAAGUGGUGUCUCCUGAAAUGGUUGGUUGGUAGAGGUCAGGGUUCAGGGGUUAAUACAGAGUCUGGGGAGAAAGCCUCCAGUACUGCUUCCUCCUCAGCUUUGAAUGGACUCCUCCCACCUACCCUUGUGACCAAGGUCGGGGAGGUAGGCUCCGGGCCAGUAACCAGGUCCUGGUGGCUUCUUGCCCUGAGCUCCCUGAGGGUGUCAGUAUAACAGGCUUCUGCGGGCCCAGCGAAUUUCCACAAGUCAGGAGGGCCUCACUCUGAGGCUCACACCUCUGGAACUUGAGCCGUUGGCCAAGUUCAGGCAGUGCGAGGGGAAGGUAAGUGCUGUGUCAGCUGGAUUUGGUGGGGAAAUGGGCCUCCAGGGUGGAAAAGAAAAAUAAAGAAAAGGAUUCCUGCUGGAGCUUGCUUGUAGAAAAAGGGAGUUCUAAAGGUUCCCCUCCUGCCUCCGCUGCCUUAGGUCUUUACUGGAGAACUAGCUUCAGAAUCUGGGCCAGCAAAGAUCACUUCCUCCAGGAAGCCUUCUUGGAUGGCCCAGUCCCUUUUGAGCUCUCAUUCUUUUGACCUUGCGGAUUUGAGUGUGGUUUUGGGUACUCACCCUCACAGGCCGAGUACUUGGCGCACAACCCAGGCAUAUUUUGACUCAGAUUGAAAGCUUCCACCAGAAAAGAAAAAGAUAGAGAGGAGAAAAUUCACAUUUAUUAAGCCCCUUACUGUCUAUCUCACCCUGGGCUGUGCAUUUUUUAUGUCACCUCACUUAAAUGUUGCAACAACCUUUCAAGGUAGGGAUCACUCUCCAUUUUAUGUAUGAAGAGCUGCUAAGUCGCUUCAGUCAUGUCUGACUCUGUGUGAUCCCAAAGAUGACAGCCCACCAGGCUCCCCCGUCCCUGGGAUUCUCCAGGCAAGAA
rnacentral:lncRNA from 1 species